GUGAUGGCGCACCUGGUUGAGUGCACAUGUUAUAGUGCACAAGGACCCAGGUUCGAGCCCCCGGUCCCCACCUGCAGGGGAAAAGCUUUGCAAGUGGUGAAGCAGGGCUGCAGGUGUCUCUCUCUCUCUCCCUCUCUGUCUCCCCCUUCCUCUCAACUUCUGGCUGUCUCUAUCCAAUAAAUAAAUAAAGAUAAUAAAAAUAAAAAUUAAAAAAAAAAAGACUGAGGAAGCCGUUAGAGCACAGUUACUGACAUGGUAGAGAAAGUCUUAUCUCUGGCAGAGGAAUUUCAUGCAUUUAAAUAAUAAGUACCAUGGCUCUACCUGGUACCUCCUACUUGUGUUGAGGGAUGGCUAACAUUGUGCUGGUUGCUGGAACCAGUCACCACAAUCAGGCAGGUGUAGAUAGUAUCCUGGUUACGCAAAGGGAGUCUCACUCACGUCUCAGGCUAUAGAGUCCCAAGUUUAAUCCCCCACACCACCAUAAGCCAGAGAUGAGCAGUGCUCUGGGGAAAAAAAAAUAACACAAACUUGGUGGUUUAAAACUGCAUUCCCCCCCCCCCAGCUCCCCACCUGCAGGGAACUCGCUUCACAGGCAGUGAAGCAGGUCUGCAGGUGUCUCUCUUUUUCUCUCCCUCUCUGUCUUCCCCUCCUCUCUCCAUUUCUCUCUGUCCUAUCAACAACAGUAAUAACUACAAUUAAAGAAGGAAGGGGGGGCAGCUAAAGGGAAUAAAUAAUUAUUUAAAAAACUGCA